UGGUGGAUAGCUCAGUUGGUAGAGCAGGCGCCCAUAUGUAGAGGUUUACUUCUCGACGCAGCAGGCCUGGGUUCGACUCAGACUUCCAG
rnacentral:tRNA from 1 species